GAGAAAGGGAGGAAUCGAUUCCUCCGUUGGCUGGCGUGAGGAAACGGCCCUUGGUCAGGGGUACAUUUGUCCAGCCAUGGAAAAUCUUACAGGUUUCUAAAGGUUUUUCACGGUAUGGUCCAACGGAACUAACAGCAAUGUCAUUUUGGGAUGAAAGUUGAGGUCAGUGUCAAAUAAGGAAGGAAGAAAUUCUAAGGGUUAAGGAAGGAACGAGUCAUUUUCGUAGUGUCAAAUAGGGAGUAAUCUCUACGGUAGUUGGAUUGGAAAUUGGAGAACUGCUGGAAAUACUCUAAACCCUCCAUUUUAUGGAGGCCUCCAAAAUUCCCCCGCAACCUCCAUUCUUGAGGGUUCUCUAA
rnacentral:lncRNA from 1 species